rnacentral:rRNA from 1 species
GACGAACGCUGGCGGCGUGCUUAACACAUGCAAGUCGAACGGACAGGCCCUGCUUUUGUGGGGUUCUCGAGUGGCGAACGGGUGAGUAACACGUGAGUAACCUGCCCUUGACUUUGGGAUAACUUCAGGAAACUGGGGCUAAUACCGGAUAGGAGCUCCUGCUGCAUGGUGGGGGUUGGAAAGUUUCGGCGGUUGGGGAUGGACUCGCGGCUUAUCAGCUUGUUUGUGGGGUAGUGGCUUACCAAGGCUUUGACGGGUAGCCUGCCUGAGAGGGUGACCGGCCACAUGGGGACUGAGAUACGGCCCAGACUCCUACGGGAGGCAGCAGUGGGGAAUAUUGCACAAUGGGCGGAAGACUGAGGCAGAAACGCCGCGUGCGGGAUGACGGCCUUCGGGUUGUAAACAGCUUUCGACUGUGACGAAGAGUGAGUGACGGUAAUGGGUAAAGAAGCACCGGCUAACUACGUG